rnacentral:rRNA from 1 species
GAUGAACGCUGGCGGCGUGCUUAACACAUGCAAGUCGAACGAGAAGUGAAGACGGAAACCUUCGGGCGGAAGGCUUUAUUUCGAGUGGCGGACGGGUGAGUAACGCGUGGGUAACCUGCCUCAUACAGGGGGAUAACAGUUGGAAACGACUGUUAAUACCGCAUAAGACCACAGCACCGCAUGGUGCGGGGGUAAAAACUCCGGUGGUAUGAGAUGGACCCGCGUUCGAUUAGCCAGUUGGCGGGGUAACGGCCCACCAAAGCGACGAUCGAUAGCCGAUCUGAGAGGAUGACCGGCCACAUUGGGACUGAGACACGGCCCAAACUACUACGGGAGGCAGCAGUGGGGAAUAUUGCACAAUGGGGGAAACCCUGAUGCAGCGACGCCGCGUGAGUGAAGAAGUAUUUCGGUAUGUAAAGCUCUAUAAGCAGGGAAGAAAAUGACGGUACCUGAGUAAGAAGCCCCGGCUAACUACGUG